ACGCUCGACACCUACGGGAGCAGCAGUGGGGAAUAUUGCACAAUGGGGGAAACCCUGAUGCAGCGACGCCGCGUGGAGGAAGAAGGUCUUCGGAUUGUAAACUCCUGUUGUUGGGGAAAAAGAGGAUGGUACCCAACAAGGAAGUGACGGCUAACUACGCGCCAGCAGCGCGGUAAUCUGAGCGGGCUGGCAAGGC
rnacentral:rRNA from 1 species